CCUACGGUGGGCUGCAGUGGGGAAUAUUGCACAAUGGGGGAAACCCUGAUGCAGCGAUGCCGCGUGAGUGAAGAAGUAUUUCGGUAUGUAAAGCUCUAUCAGCAGGGAAGCAAAUGACGGUACCUGAUUAAGAAGCCCCGUUCAAUCAACGCCCGCAUCCGCGGGCACACGGAGGGGGCACACGUUAACCGGAUUUAUUGGGUGUAAAGGGGGCGUAUACGGGUGCACAAGUCUGGAGUGAAAUGCCGGGGCUUAACCCCGGAACUGCUUUGGAAACUGUGGAGCUAGAGUGCAGGAGAGGUAAGUGGAAUUCCUAGUGUAGCGGUGAAAUGCGUAGAUAUUAGGAGGAACACCAGUGGCGAAGGCGGCUUACUGGACUGUAACUGACGUUGAGGCUCGAAAGCGUGGGGAGCGAACAGGAUUAGAUACCCCUGUAGUC
rnacentral:rRNA from 1 species